rnacentral:rRNA from 1 species
UACGUAGGGUGCAAGCGUUGUCCGGAAUUAUUGGGCGUAAAGAGCUCGUAGGCGGUUUGUCGCGUCUGCUGUGAAAACCCGAGGCUCAACCUCGGGCCUGCAGUGGGUACGGGCAGACUAGAGUGCGGUAGAGGAGAUUGGAAUUCCUGGUGUAGCGGUGGAAUGCGCAGAUAUCAGGAGGAACACCAAUGGCGAAGGCAGAUCUCUGGGCCGUAACUGACGCUGAGGAGCGGAAGCAUGGGGAGCGAACAGG